UACAGAGGGGGCAAGCGUUGUUCGGAAUUACUGGGCGUAAAGGGCGCGUAGGCGGCCUUCUAAGUCGAACGUGAAAUCCCUGGGCUCAACCCUGGAAAGCCGGCCGAUACUGUCGGACUAGAGUCCGGAAGAGGCGAGUGGAAUUCCCGGUGUAGCGGUGAAAUGCGCAGAUAUCGGGAGGAACACCAAUGGCGAAGGCAGCUCGCUGGGACGGUACUGACGCUGAGGCGCGAAAGCGUGGGGAGCAAACAGG
rnacentral:rRNA from 1 species